AAUCUCACAAUCAAUCCAAGAUGGCCAACUUCCUGUUGGAUUUAGGGCAUGGCUCCAAGAGGCUUUUUUGUGCGUCCUGAUGUGCUCUAUAAGCCUCCCAAAUUUCAUGGAUGUAGGUGAAACGUGCUGGGGGGGCUGUUUGUUAAAAAUACUGUAGGGGGCGCUGUAGCAUGUGCAGUGCCGAGAUGCAUACAGUGUUGUUCCUUGGGUGAAUGGUGAUGUGUGUGGUAAUUUUAGUGAGCAUUGGAGUAUUCCUAAUCUGUCAGAAAGGGCUUUGUUUUUCAUGGCGAUAUUUGGUUGCUACGGCAACAGCGUUGCAUGAAAUGUCACACCCUUCACAGUGUGUGAUUGUCAAGACGUGAAGACUCGACUGACCAAUUUCCAGGAUGAUAUCACCAAGUUUGGGGCCAUUGUACCUGAAAAUAUAACGCCUUAAACUUACUAUUACCAACAGGUGGCGCAAUGACUUUUUCAAAAUUUAUGAGUGUGGAUGUGUUCAGACUGGACCUGGUAUCCAGCAUGUGAAGUCUGAGGCAGAUAGGAUCUUGUUCAGCUGAGAUAUGAAUCGUUAAAUUUUCAUGACGAAACAUCGAAAUUGGUUUGGCCGCCACAGACACGCCCUUUGAUGACAAGUCACCAUUUUCACUGGGAUGCAUCAUCAAUGUGUUCAGCCUGUUGUCACCGCAUUUGAAGUGAAUAUGAUCAACCGGGUAACAAUAGGGCAUGAAAGUGUAAAAGAUGUCUAUUUCCUGAAACCACAAGGUGGCGCUAUGACUGUCAAUGAAUAUCCCUAUGUAGAUGACAUCAGGACAGGACUGUCAUCAUACAUGUAAAGUUUCAGGCAGAUUGGAGCAUGUUGAGAAGAAUUAGACACCACUUCCUGUUUCAUGGCGAAGGAUCAGUUGUUUGAGGCUCCGCCAUGGCCACACCUUUUGGCUUCUGGUUGAGUUUUUGAUAACUUUUCAUCAGAAAGGUCUGGUGCAUGUACUGGCCAAAUUUCAGUUCUCUCAGACUUACCCCCUAGGAGCUAUUAAUUUUGACAAAUGUAAAGCAAAUUCAAGAUGGCCGACUUCCUGUUGGGUUUAGGGCGUGGCUGUGAUUGACUUUUUGGUGUGUCCUGAUGUGGUGCAUAUGCCCACCAAAUAUUGUAGCUGUAAAUGAAACU